rnacentral:rRNA from 1 species
AGAGUUUGAUCCUGGCUCAGGAUGAACGCUGGCGGCGCGCCUAACACAUGCAAGUCGAACGGCACCCGCCCUCGGGCGGAAGCGAGUGGCGAACGGCUGAGUAACACGUGGAGAACCCGCCCCCCUCCCGGGGAUAGCCGCCGGAAACGGCGGGUAACACCCGAUGACCCCGCGCCAGGGCAUCCCGGCGCGGGCAAAACUCCGGUGGAGGGGGAUGGCUCCGCGGCCCAUCAGGUAGACGGCGGGGUGACGGCCCACCGUGCCGACAACGGGUAGCCGGGUUGAGAGACCGACCGGCCAGAUUGGGACUGAGACACGGCCCAGACUCCUACGGGAGGCAGCAGUGGGGAAUCUUGCGCAAUGGGGGCAACCCUGACGCAGCGACGCCGCGUGCGGGAUGGAGGCCUUCGGGUCGUAAACCGCUUUCAGCAGGGACGAGCAGAGACUGUACCUGCAGAAGAAGCCCCGGCUAACUACGUGCCAGCAGCCGCGGU